GUGCUGGUGGUGCAGGUCGCCGGGGAUGGCCGCCAUCUCGUAGCACAGACACGUCUCCACCAUCUUGGAGAGCGAGACGCGGAAGUCGCGCAGCAGGCGGAUGGUGUAGGAGUCUCCCUCCAGCACCAGGAGGUCGCUGUCCGUCAGGGAGACGGUCGCCCGCCAGCCAUCGUCUCGGACGUGGAUGUCAGUGUCAGUCAUGAGCAGCACAGCCAGCGGGUGGACCUGGGAGGAGUCCCGCACAAACACCCCUCCGUUGGACUUCACCGCCAUGAAAUACGUCAGCCAGCGGCUGUACAGCUUGGAGGCCUCCCUGUUGAUGGUUGACUUGUGAAGCAGAACAGUGCCGGCCUUUGUCCGGUACGCGUAGCUGUUGGGCUUGAACUUCCCUUGGCGGGUCACCUUGCCUUGUCUCACCUGGAUGAGGUUGGGGUAGAGCCCAGCCAUGAGGACUCCCUUGACCAGUUCCUCCUCUUCACUGUACUGGUUACAUACAGAUGAAGGCAUGGUGCAGUCAGAUGGGGAGGACACCAGGAAGGC
rnacentral:lncRNA from 1 species